ensembl:lncRNA
UGAUGCAAUGCAGUGCAAUCCCUCGGCUUUUCCAAUAGUGAGUGAAUCGGCACCAUGGCGACUACAUAAACUUAUGUGUUUGGAGUCUGACGGCAGCAGAGACGAAGUCAAUUGGUUCCUCUGAGGGCCUUGUGGAGGUGAGGGAGCUUUGUGGAGGUGGAGGAGCUUUGUGGAGGUGGGGGAGCUUUGUGGAGGUGGGGGAGCUUUGUGGAGGUGGAGGAGCUUUGUGGAGGUGGGGGAGCUUUCUGGGGGCGACUUCACUUUUGUUCCAUGUUUGUUCCAUAUUGCAAACAGCAACGAGCUGCUGAUGUUAAUACAGCGAAGAGACAUUGUAACUAAACUCUAGUAAGGAAAAGAAAAUAACACUCAAUGACAAAAAGAUCAUUAUAUUCACAGAAAUGUCACCAUGUUAACAAAAACUUAUUAUUAUGAGUAAAAGUAUUAUUAAAUUGCUAUAGCUUGCAGCUAAUAAAAUGUCUGCUAGUAUUUGAGAGCUAUUAAAUGUAGUCCCACAGCUGCGGAGUGCUCACCUCGAUAUUUUAUACUUUAAUGUCUCAUCUUUGCACUGAGCCUGCUUCUAAUUGAGCCGUUUUAUUAUCAUGGCGAGCGAAUACGUCCCGCCACUCCGGAGAAGAGAUUCUGCGAGGUUUUUAGGGCCCACGUGACUCAACCAAUGAAACUGUGAUAUGAUUAACUCAUCCGUCAUGAUGUCACGGAGUCUGGAUUUACGCGCCUUAAGAGCCCGGGCUCUAUAAAAAAAAUAAAAUAAAAUAAAAAACACCGGCCUCACCGCGUUCGACACAUCGGCACAGAAAGCGCCACGCGAGAGACCAAAGGGACACACACAAACACGCGUGUGCGCAGAAACAGCUUGAUGAUGUCAUCCUGCACACUUCAUUUCCAGUGGCUCUAAAUCCACUCCAGGCAAAGUGGAAAUAACCGUGAACACGGAGGCGCCUAAGUGGCUCCGUCAGAUUGGAGCAGGGAGCGAUGUGAGCGCAGCAACACUCCGGAAUUAUUACAGUAAUGUGCCCGUAAAAAGCCAGCAGAUAUUACCCGCUGACUUCGCCGUGUCUGCUGGGUGACGGGACGUCAUCGGAGCCGCCGGGCCCGGAUGAAGAACCCGUGGUCGCCGUAUGGUGAGACAUCGAAUCCCCCCCCCACCCGUCACGUCAACACACGUGCUCGUCUCCGUCACGCGACGCAUGGUUUUGAUGGAGGUGAAUUUGAUAAAUGUUCAAGGCGAAAGCAGAAUGCAACGUAACUGAAGCGUCGGCAGCUUCGCUACUGAAACACGGAUGAUGAAGUCGACAUUGCAACGCUGCGCUUGUUUCUAUUUCCAACAUUCGUUCUGUGUCAGGCUGAUAUUUCUGAGCUGCAGAUGAAGAUCAGGACGGACUAAUGAUAUCUUUGUAGAAUUACAUCCCAGUGGCGGCUGCAUUGUUUAUGACUCCGAUAAUUACAACAACUCCAGAGCCUUGUAACGUCGAAAAGUCUGAAUUUAUGUAAGAAAUAGAAAAGAAAUUAAGAAAAUAAUCAUGCACUGCUUUCAUCAAUAUUUUUUGGCUCAGAAAAUGACAUUUUUCUAAUAAAAAAGAGGAACAAGGACAGGAUGUGGUCUCAGCUGUAUUUUCAAGAUAUUAUUUUAAAAAGUAUACAAUAAAAAAAAAGCACAGUUGAUUGUUGUGUUCAUGCCAACGUUCUCCGAGAUGACGACACGUCAGAAACCACCAAAACCUGGGCACACUUUAAAAUCCCGUUGUUCACCUUAUUAUCUCCGCAGAUGAUAUUAUUGAGUGACGCUUUACUCACAAUCUAAUCCCGUCGGUUGAUUUGAAAAGAAAUGUGUGCACCUCCGCUUUAGCGAAGCGCGUGAAGAAGUGGGUCACGUAAUCACGCCACCCGAUCCAGCGCGGCGCUGAUUUAAUACCUUCUGUUGGUUAUCGACUAAAUGUAAUAUGAUCAUCAGAAAUUCUACAUGGUGCAACGUCUGCGA